GGUUGAUCCUGCCAGUAGUCAUAUGCUUGUCUCAAAGAUUAAGCCAUGCAUGUCUCAGUAUAAGCUUCUAUACGGUGAAACUGCGAAUGGCUCAUUAAAACAGUUACAGUUUAUUUGAUGGUCAUUCUUUACAUGGAUAACCGUGGUAAUUCUAGAGCUAAUACAUGCGCCCAAACCCGACUCCGUGGAAGGGUUGUGUUUAUUAGUUACAGAACCAACCCAGGCUCUGCCUGGUCUUGUGGUGAUUCAUAAUAACCGAACGAAUCGCAUGGCAUCAGCUGGCGAUGAAUCAU
rnacentral:rRNA from 1 species